rnacentral:rRNA from 1 species
AGAGUUUGAUCAUGGCUCAGGAUGAACGCUAGCGGCAGGCUUAAUACAUGCAAGUCGAGGGGCAGCACGGGUAGCAAUACCUGGUGGCGACCGGCAAACGGGUGCGGAACACGUACGCAACUUUCCCAAAACUGGUGAAUAGCCCUCCGAAAGGAGGAUUAAUACACCGUAAAAUAUAGAGAUGGCAUCACCUUUAUAUUAUAGCUCCGGCGGUUUUGGAUGGGCGUGCGCCUGAUUAGGUAGUUGGUAGGGUAACGGCCUACCAAGCCUACGAUCAGUAACUGGUGUGAGAGCACGACCAGUCACACGGGCACUGAGACACGGGCCCGACUCCUACGGGAGGCAGCAGUAAGGAAUAUUGGUCAAUGGACGCAAGUCUGAACCAGCCAUGCCGCGUGAAGGAUGAAGGCCCUCUGGGUUGUAAACUUCUUUUAUAGGGGACGAAAAAAGGGCAUUCUUGCUCACUUGACGGUACCCUAGGAAUAAGCACCGGCUAACUCCGUGCCAGCAGCCGCGGUAAUACGGAGGGUGCAAGCGUUAUCCGGAUUUACUGGGUUUAAAGGGUGCGUAGGUGGGUCUGUAAGUCAGUGGUGAAAUCUCCGGGCUUAACUCGGAAAUUGCCAUUGAUACUAUAGGUCUUGAAUCAUCUGGAGGUAAGCGGAAUAUGUCAUGUAGCGGUGAAAUGCUUAGAUAUGACAUAGAACACCAAUUGCGAAGGCAGCUUACUACGGAUGUAUUGACACUGAGGCACGAAAGCGUGGGGAUCAAACAGGAUUAGAUACCCUAGUAGUCC